GACGUAGGGGGCCAGCGUUGCUCGGAAUUACUGGGCGUACAGGGUGUGUAGGCGGUUUGGUAAGCCUUCUGUUAAAGCUUCGGGCCCAACCCGGAAAGCGCAGAGGGUACUGCCAGGCUAGAGGGCGGGAGAGGAGCGCGGAAUUCCCGGUGUAGCGGUGAAAUGCGUAGAGAUCGGGAGGAAGGCCGGUGGCGAAGGCGGCGCUCUGGAACGUACCUGACGCUGAGACGACGAAAGCGUGGGGAGCAAACAGG
rnacentral:rRNA from 1 species